GUAACAAGGUUUCCGUAGGUGAACCUGCGGAAGGAUCAUUGUCGAAACCUGCCCAGCAGAACGACCCGUGAACUUGUGAUUGUGCUCGAGGGGGUCUAGCGUAGGGGAGCUCCGGCUGCCCGCGUUGGCCCGCUCUUCGCCGCCGGGAUGGAGCGGGAUCUCGCUCCCUCCUUGCGGUCGAAAACGACCCCCGGCGCGAGCCGCGCCAAGGAAAAUUUAACGAGAGAGAGGCGUUCCCGCCGCCCCGGACACGGAUCGGCUUGCGGGAUGCGUCCCCUUCUUUCAACGAUAAUCCAAAACGACUCUCGGCAACGGAUAUCUCGGCUCUCGCAUCGAUCAUAAAUGCGAUACUUGGUGUGAAUUGCAGAAUCCCGUGAACCAUCGAGUCUUUGAACGCAAGUUGCGCCCCAAGCCGUUAGGCCGAGGGCACGUCUGCCUGGGUGUCACGCAUCGUUGCCCCCCACAUCCCCCUCUUGGCGGAUGUUUGGACGGGCGGAAACUGGCCUCCCGUGCGCUCCAGCUCGCGGUUGGCCCAAAUCUGAGUCUUUCGGCGACCGUGCCGCGACGAUCGGUGGUGGAACAUGCCUCUCGAGCUCUCGUCGCGCGUUCGCGUCUCCGUGUCACUGGCUCGCGGACCCUUGUAAGCGCCUUCUCUCAGAGACGGUGCUCGCUUUGCGACCCCAGGUCAGGCGGGACUACCCGCUGAGUUUAAGCA
rnacentral:sRNA from 1 species